UUUCCGUAGGUGAACCAGCGGAGGGAUCAUUACCGAGUUUACAACUCCCAAACCCCUGUGAACAUACCAUUUGUUGCCUCGGCGGUGCCUGCUUCGGCAGCCCGCCAGAGGACCCAAACCCUUGAUUUUAUGCAGUAUCUUCUGAGUAAAUGAUUAAAUAAAUCAAAACUUUCAACAACGGAUCUCUUGGUUCUG
rnacentral:misc_RNA from 1 species